rnacentral:rRNA from 1 species
CUAACUAGGAUUCCCCCAGUAACUGCGAGUGAAGAGGGAAGAGCUCAUCAUUGGAAUCUGGCAGUGUUGCACUGUCCGAGUUGUAGAUGAGGAGUAGUCCGUCUGGACUGCAUGGCGUCCAAGUACAAUAGGCCGUCAGUGGGACAUCAUAGAGGGUGACAAUCCCGUCCUUGAUGCCAAUGUGCAAGUCCGUUACGAUGGCUAUCUCAGAGAGUCGAGCAGUUUGGGAUUUGCUGCUUAAACAUGGGAGGUAGAUUCCUUCUAAAGCUAAAUACAGGCGAGAGACCGAUAGAGAACAAGUACCGCAAGGGAAAGAUGAAAUAGAACUCUGUGAAGGGAGUCAAAAGGCGUGAAAUUGUUGCGAGAGAAGCGAUUCAAGUCAGCGUAGCUAGGCCCAUCAAGCGUCUUCGCUUUGGACUGGCUUUGCCAGCGGUCUUGUCCUUAMAGACUUGACUUUGUAUAUGUGUCCAGCCUGGUAUGCACAGGUAGCCCCUCUGGGGCCAGUGGCACAGCUGGUGGAAUGGCUUGCAAUCMACCCGUCUUGAAACACGGA